GCAGCCAGAGUGCGCUAUGGGCCUGCGUGCCCGGUGGGACUGGGGGGAGGUGGAGCUGGCGGGAGCCGCCGCAGAGGAGCGGGGCCCUCAGAGCAGCUCCUCAUAACGUGAGGCGGCCGAAACUCUGCUCCCAACUGCGCCGUAGCCGCAUUCUCCUUGGCGUGGGAUGGGAAAUAGAAGUGCAUAUUAAGUCCCAUGUACUCCAGGAAAAAAACCCAACAGGAGUGUGUGCUGUUAUCCUGGGGACUGCUCUGAACUCUUACAGUUCUACACUAUGUGAAACACCUGUUAUUGUAAGCAUUGAUGAUACUGAAGAAAUAACAAGGCUCUAAGCACAGAAACCUGUGUUAAUAGUUUGCAGGUUAAAUAUAUAAAGGGAUGACUUGGCUAUGGGAACUUUCCCCUUCUUCAGGCAGUAUUUGAAGAAAGUGGAGUAAGUGAACCAUUGUAAGAACAGAUUGAAACCAGUGAGAACAAUGGCCAGCGCCUGGACUCUAUACAAUCAAUCACCAAGCAGGGGGCCUUGGAUCAUGCCAGAGGGUCACAGAGACCUGAUGAAGACUUUCCUGACUUCAUCCUUCGAAGACCACUGACCCAACUUGAGAUCACCAACCCAAAUCAAGAGAAGAAUUGUGCACACGUGAAGGACUAAGAGCCUCAUUUUAAUGCUGAAUGGGGAUGGAAGGUGCUGGGGUUAUGCAUGUGUUUUGUAUGUAAGAUUUUGGAAAAUAAAUAGAGGGAAGAGAACCUUGUUUGGGGCAGUCACGCCUUCUGGGGACAAUCCCCGUGCUGCCCACUGGUGAAUAAACAUACCACUUUUUAACUUUAAUUA